rnacentral:rRNA from 1 species
GACGAACGCUGGCGGCGUGCUUAACACAUGCAAGUCGAACGGAAAGGCCCUGCUUUUGUGGGGUGCUCGAGUGGCGAACGGGUGAGUAACACGUGAGUAACCUGCCCUUGACUUUGGGAUAACUUCAGGAAACUGGGGCUAAUACCGGAUAGGAGCUCCUGCUGCAUGGUGGGGGUUGGAAAGUUUCGGCGGUUGGGGAUGGACUCGCGGCUUAUCAGCUUGUUGGUGGGGUAGUGGCUUACCAAGGCUUUGACGGGUAGCCGGCCUGAGAGGGUGACCGGCCACAUUGGGACUGAGAUACGGCCCAGACUCCUACGGGAGGCAGCAGUGGGGAAUAUUGCACAAUGGGCGGAAGCCUGAUGCAGCAACGCCGCGUGCGGGAUGACGGCCUUCGGGUUGUAAACCGCUUUCGCCUGUGACGAAGCGUGAGUGACGGUAAUGGGUAAAGAAGCACCGGCUAACUACGUGCCAGCAGCCGCGGUGAUACGUAGGGUGCGAGCGUUGUCCGGAUUUAUUGGGCGUAAAGGGCUCGUAGGUGGUUGAUCGCGUCGGAAGUGUAAUCUUGGGGCUUAACCCUGAGCGUGCUUUCGAUACGGGUUGACUUGAGGAAGGUAGGGGAGAAUGGAAUUCCUGGUGGAGCGGUGGAAUGCGCAGAUAUCAGGAGGAACACCAGUGGCGAAGGCGGUUCUCUGGGCCUUUCCUGACGCUGAGGAGCGAAAGCGUGGGGAGCGAACAGGCUUAGAUACCCUGGUAGUCCACGCUGUAAACGGUGGGUACUAGGUGUGGGGUCCAUUCCACGGGUUCCGUGCCGUAGCUAACGCUUUAAGUACCCCGCCUGGGGAGUACGGCCGCAAGGCUAAAACUCAAAGGAAUUGACGGGGCCCCGCACAAGCGGCGGAGCAUGCGGAUUAAUUCGAUGCAACGCGUAGAACCUUACCUGGGUUUGACAUGGAUCGGGAGCGCUCAGAGAUGGGUGUGCCUCUUUUGGGGUCGGUUCACAGGUGGUGCAUGGCUGUCGUCAGCUCGUGUCGUGAGAUGUUGGGUUAAGUCCCGCAACGAGCGCAACCCUUGUUCACUGUUGCCAGCACGUUAUGGUGGGGACUCAGUGGAGACCGCCGGGGUCAACUCGGAGGAAGGUGGGGAUGACGUCAAGUCAUCAUGCCCCUUAUGUCCAGGGCUUCACGCAUGCUACAAUGGCUGGUACAGAGAGUGGCGAGCCUGUGAGGGUGAGCGAAUCUCGGAAAGCCGGUCUCAGUUCGGAUUGGGGUCUGCAACUCGACCUCAUGAAGUCGGAGUCGCCAGUAAUCGCAGAUCAGCAACGCUGCGGUGAAUACGUUCCCGGGGCU